AAUAACAUUUAAAAUUUUCAUUAACUUGUAAAUGACUUCGUUAGGAGGGUUGAAUACAAGUUUCUUGUGAAAACAAUCUACAAUGGCAUAGUACGCCACUAACCAGUUUAUUUUCAAAAUUAUAUCAAAGUUCCUCAUGUCAAUCUCUAUCAGGUCCACACUCAAUUUUUUACAUGUUAUGUCUACGAUACAAGCUUUGUAUAUAACUUUUUCUAGUAGUGUCCU
rnacentral:lncRNA from 1 species